rnacentral:lncRNA from 1 species
CAAGCACCUAAGCUACAGCCAUUGUGGACCAACAAAUCUUUCCCUCAAAAACCUACUGUCUAGUCCUUCUGACACUGAAAUCAAAGCUGCUUUUAGCCCACUGCCUAUGAGAACAUUUCUGACAUAUCUAUUUAUUUUGACUAAAAAUGGUGCAUAAUCAGGCCAUAUUUCUGAAAAUGUUAAUUAGGAAAGCAAUUUUCUGUUUUCAUUAAGGACAAGUGUCUUGGGUGAGGAGAGGGAAGAAUAAAAGUUAAUAUUUGGUGAAACACUGGGCCACACUAACCAUCACAUUAACCACGGGAAGAAAGUCAGCUUUGGGGUUUUAAGUGUUUAGAGGUCUCUUAUUAAAAAAAAAAAAAGUUUAUUUGAAGUUGCUAUGGUUACAUUUUAUUCAUAAAGGUAAAACAACUGAAAAAGUGGCCUAGAGAAAUAAUAAUAAAGUCAUGAGCCAACAUUUGCCAAGUGCUCGCUGCAUGCUCGGCACCACAACACAUGCCUACAUGUGUCAUUUAAUGUAAUCCUCACGACAACCCCAGCAGAUAGCCUUAUAAUUCUCAUUUUACAGAGCAGAGUAAGGCACAGACAAGUACAGUUAACAUGCCCAAGGUCCAACAGAAGAAUGGGAAUUUGAACCUAGGUAGUUUAUGAUCCAGGUUGAUUAAAUUCAUUUAACAAUUGCUCAUUUGUCCCUUUAUUUUGCUCAUCUAAACACAGUAUAGCACUCAUUUCACUUAAUUCAACAGAGAGUUUUGCUUCAAGCCUUCUAAAGUGUCAUAAUUACUCAUUGUUAUCACAAAACAUGUAUUUAGAACCAACCACAUGCCAGGCCUCAUACUAGCUGACCAAUAUACACAGUGUUUGGCAAAAGCUAAGGUGAUGGUGUGCCAGUUCUGCUCUCUGCUGUAUCUGUGUCCUGUUUCCUUAUGUCGUUUGUAAUUUUUGAUCACAAGCACAUUUUCAACAAGCUCAUUGGAGCCACCAGCUGAAAGCAAGGGAGUGAAUGAGCCCAGCCCCGAGUGGAGCAGAAGGAGCCCAACCAGCGAAGCCCAGCCUGAAUUCCUGACUAACAGACUUAACAGGUGGAUUUUUGGGUUUGCUGAAGAAGAAAAAGAAGGAGAAGGAGAAGGAGAAGAAGAAGAGAAGUGUGAUUAACAAGAAAAAAACUUAUUUGGGGGCUAUGAACACCUUGAAUAUUUAACAGAAUAUCAGCUACUCAUCUGUAACCAUUCACUACAUAGCUAAACUUUUAGUAAUAAUGUAGGUAUUCUCUGGCCAAGAGAAAGAUAGGAUGUGUGUGUGUGUGUGUGUGUGUGUGUGUGUGUGUGUGUGUGUGUGUGUUUAACAGAAGAAAAUGGAAAGAAAAUAAAAUAAAGGAUAUUUUGGAGUCAGUGAGUAAAUAUUUACUUUUAGAGUAUAGCAUGUUU